AUUGAACGCUGGCGGCAUGCCUUACACAUGCAAGUCGAACGGCAGCACGGGAGCAAUCCUGGUGGCGAGUGGCGAACGGGUGAGUAAUACAUCGGAACGUGCCCAGUAGUGGGGGAUAACCCGGCGAAAGCCGGACUAAUACCGCAUACGACCUACGGGUGAAAGCGGGGGAUCGCAAGACCUCGCGUUAUUGGAGCGGCCGAUGGCAGAUUAGCUAGUUGGUGGGGUAAAAGCCUACCAAGGCGACGAUCUGUAGCUGGUCUGAGAGGACGACCAGCCACACUGGGACUGAGACACGGCCCAGACUCCUACGGGAGGCAGCAGUGGGGAAUUUUGCACAAUGGGGGAAACCCUGAUGCAGCGACGCCGCGUGGAGGAUGAAGGGUCUAGG
rnacentral:rRNA from 1 species